GAUGAACGCUGGCGGCGUGCCUAAUACAUGCAAGUCGAGCGAACGGACGAUAAGCUUGCUUUUUUGAUGUUAGCGGCGGACGGGUGAGUAACACGUGGAUCACCUACUUAUAUGUCUGGGAUAAUUACGGAAAACCGGAUCUAAUACCGGAUAAUAUUUUGAACCGCUUGGUUCAUAAGUGAUAGACGGUCUUCCUGUCACUAAUAGCUGGAUCCGCGCUGCAUUAGCUAGUUGGUAAGGUACCGGCUUACCAAGGCAACGAUGCAUAGCCGACCUGAGAGGGUGAUCGGCCACACUGGAACUGAGACACGGUCCAGACUCCUACGGGAGGCAGCAGUAGGGAAUCUUCCGCAAUGGGCGAAAGCCUGACGGAGCAACGCCGCGUGGGUGAUGAAGGUCUUCGGAUCGUAAAGCUCUGUUAUUAGGGAAGAACAGAUGUGGAAUUAACUGUGGACAUCUUGACGGUACCUAAUCAGAAAGCAACGGCUAACUACGUG
rnacentral:rRNA from 1 species